UACACCUGGAAUGAACAAACACUAUUAGGUGGGUGUUAUCGUCACCAAGAUAAACUUCAGUGUGUACAAAAGCAUCUCCCCAUCAAAUCACUCGAGAAAGCUCACUUUGUGAUGCACAUUUCUGAUUAAUUCAGAUUGAAGCAGUUGGCAAGCAACAUAGUACAAGCACCCAAGCCCCCUCACCUUCACUUUGAAAGGCCUAUGCAGACUUUCACUGCUUCCUACUCCCCUUAUAUAUAUAAUUUACUCCCACCUCCUCCACAGUUCUGCAUCUAAACCUCUUCCCUGAUGAUUUAUACAGGCAGUUUUCUGAAACUCUUCCACUCAUUGUCUUUGAGACAUCUUGCUGACAUUUCCUUUCUUACUUGUCCCCCAAAUGACUCCUUACAGAGUUUUUCUAAACUGGGUUACUUGCUAAAUGUAUUGUUUGGGUUAGUGCUUGUUUGACAGCUACCCCCUCUUACAUCCUUUCAGAACUCUGCAUUUUCAAGUUUGUUAGGGUAAAAUCCCUCUUUCUUUCUGUGUUAUUACAGGCACACACACUGCAUUAAAAAAUAAUAGCUGUUUAUUUAUGUGCAAAGCCACACAUGUGGAUAACUUAUUCCCGUAAGACUUCUACUUGCUUCCAGAAGCCAAGGUUGAGAAGAGGUGGCAUCAUACAGGAGCCCAAGCAGAGAUGAGGGGAUGGAGGAGAUGGGAAGAAGAAUAAAUAUGGCAAAGGACAAGACAAACCACUGAUCUGUGGCAACCACGGUAUAGGAGAGUGAAUGAAUAGACAAUAACAUGUUACAGCACCCUCUUGUGCAUCUGCCUCCUGGAGGACAGUUAUUGGAUUACAUAUUCCCUCUCGUCUCUAAACUGGCUGAUCAUUUCUCUGUAAUAUUCUCUUAAUACACGAUCAUGCAUAACAAGAUUACAACAGAACAUAAGAUUUGCCAGAGAUCCCCAUUGGCUGGAUGUUGAGUCAGCAUCAUCCUUACCGCAAACACGCUUGAUAACUUGUCCUCCUAAAAGACUUGUUACCAUAUAGAACUGCUGCUACUUCAGGAAUCAAGCAUUAAAUCAUGACGUAUGGUGUUGGAUGGCCUCAGAAUACAUUAGCAUGUUUCAGCCUCUUACCAAGUUCAUUUGUUCAGUGAGCAAGUGACAGAAGCUGAAAGCUACAUGCUCCAGAACCCACACUAGUUUUAUACUAAACAUGAACAUCUUUCUCAAGCUAUUUAUAUUCUGUAGAACAGCUUUAGCUUUAUCCAGUAAUUCUAAGUUUAACAGAUAGUGACAGCUGCUGUCUCAGCAAGAAAAUAAAACAAUGCUGUCUAGUUAAUUAAUUUUUAAUGCAGUGAAUUAUUAUUACAUUCAGACUAAACCACUUAAAUGGCAGACAGGAUCAGCGCUCAAGGACAGAUUACACUGGUACGGAUGCAUUUAAAAAUUAGCCCUAUUUACCUUUUAUCCAUCGUAUCAGAGCAGUGUUUUAACUUCUUUUCAGACUCAAAGAUCUAAUUUCUUUCAGAUCAUUAAUGCAGUACCACUACCCAUCAGUGAUGCAAGAGAAAAUGAGGUUUGUUUCACUCAACUGUUGUAAGACAGAUACAGCCACGGAAAGUUUCUCUUUUCUAGCUGUUGGUAGUACAAGGUACUUGCUCUGCAGCAUCUGUAACCUACUGCUCACCCCAGAACAGAAAAGCAGUUUCUACUGGCAUGAAACAAAGUGAACAUAAUAAUUGCAGCUGAUAUCAACAUCUUAUACACCUUAGGCCAUCAUUCUUGUGACCUGCAUAAUGACCUGCCUAAGGUGGACUUCUGUGGAUCCCCCCAACUAAAAUCAAUGUACUUGUGCAGACAGAGAUGCUAUGCAAAGAAAAUCAGCCUCACAACUCAAAGAAAACAUCUUGAGUUCACUGAAAUAACCUCCGUUUGCAGGAUCUAGACUCAAUUUCAUGCGAACCUAAAUCUGAAGAGCAAUCCCAGCUUUGCCUCUGUGUCUCACCUGGACUUUGUGAGAUGGAUCAGUGUGAAAAAUUCCCAAAAUAAACGCAUUGCCUUCAAUGACUGAAUUUCUGGUGCAGCAAAAACACUGUGCUGCGAUGAUGUGGGUUUCUUUUCUGAGUUAUGAGUCACGACAAGCAGAUGCCUAUUUGCUGUUGAUUUCUCGGGGUUUUU